UUAUGUGUAAAUUUGAAAAUC
rnacentral:piRNA from 1 species